rnacentral:rRNA from 1 species
UUGAACGCUGGCGGCAGGCCUAACACAUGCAAGUCGAGCGGUAGCACAGAGAGCUUGCUCUCGGGUGACGAGCGGCGGACGGGUGAGUAAUGUCUGGGAAACUGCCUGAUGGAGGGGGAUAACUACUGGAAACGGUAGCUAAUACCGCAUAAUGUCGCAAGACCAAAGUGGGGGACCUUCGGGCCUCAUGCCAUCAGAUGUGCCCAGAUGGGAUUAGCUAGUAGGUGGGGUAACGGCUCACCUAGGCGACGAUCCCUAGCUGGUCUGAGAGGAUGACCAGCCACACUGGAACUGAGACACGGUCCAGACUCCUACGGGAGGCAGCAGUGGGGAAUAUUGCACAAUGGGCGCAAGCCUGAUGCAGCCAUGCCGCGUGUGUGAAGAAGGCCUUCGGGUUGUAAAGCACUUUCAGCGGGGAGGAAGGCGUUAAGGUUAAUAACCUUGGCGAUUGACGUUACCCGCAGAAGAAGCACCGGCUAACUCCGUGCCAGCAGCCGCGGUAAUACGGAGGGUGCAAGCGUUAAUCGGAAUUACUGGGCGUAAAGCGCACGCAGGCGGUCUGUCAAGUCGGAUGUGAAAUCCCCGGGCUCAACCUGGGAACUGCAUUCGAAACUGGCAGGCUAGAGUCUUGUAGAGGGGGGUAGAAUUCCAGGUGUAGCGGUGAAAUGCGUAGAGAUCUGGAGGAAUACCGGUGGCGAAGGCGGCCACCUGGACAAAGACUGACGCUCAGGUGCGAAAGCGUGGGGAGCAAACAGGAUUAGAUACCCUGGUAGUCCACGCCGUAAACGAUGUCGAUUUGGAGGUUGUGCCCUUGAGGCGUGGCUUCCGGAGCUAACGCGUUAAAUCGACCGCCUGGGGAGUACGGCCGCAAGGUUAAAACUCAAAUGAAUUGACGGGGGCCCGCACAAGCGGUGGAGCAUGUGGUUUAAUUCGAUGCAACGCGAAGAACCUUACCUGGUCUUGACAUCCACAGAACUUUCCAGAGAUGGAUUGGUGCCUUCGGGAACUGUGAGACAGGUGCUGCAUGGCUGUCGUCAGCUCGUGUUGUGAAAUGUUGGGUUAAGUCCCGCAACGAGCGCAACCCUUAUCCUUUGUUGCCAGCGGUUCGGCCGGGAACUCAAAGGAGACUGCCAGUGAUAAACUGGAGGAAGGUGGGGAUGACGUCAAGUCAUCAUGGCCCUUACGACCAGGGCUACACACGUGCUACAAUGGCAUAUACAAAGAGAAGCGACCUCGCGAGAGCAAGCGGACCUCAUAAAGUAUGUCGUAGUCCGGAUUGGAGUCUGCAACUCGACUCCAUGAAGUCGGAAUCGCUAGUAAUCGUAGAUCAGAAUGCUACGGUGAAUACGUUCCCGGGCCUUGUACACACCGCCCGUCACACCAUGGGAGUGGGUUGCAAAAGAAGUAGGUAGCUUAACCUUCGGGAGGGCGCUUACCACUUUGUGAUUCAUGACUGGGGUG